rnacentral:tRNA from 1 species
AGAGAGGAUGAAACUGGUGUUUCAGCCGGUCUUCAAAACCGGUAACCGGCAGCUAAAACUGUCAGCGGCAGGUUCGAUUCCUGCCCUCUCGGCCA